AAAAGUUUUAUUACCUUUUUUGGACAUAUACUUUGACACAUGACAACACUAUAAAACAUGCACAAGUCCUUUAGCCGGUAUCAAGGAAAAUACAGUUUCAAAGGUGAGUGUUUGAAUUUAAAAGCUAAAUGUGUAUACAAGUAAUAUUUUUUAAUUGUGCUGAUUACAGUAGAUAUUUUUUUUUAACAAACUCCAGUACCAAAAAAAAAAAAGAAAAGAAAAAAAAAACUUAACUAAAAUGCUUUUGAUCUCAUACGAAGGCAAUACGUAUCUCGUGACGCAUACUACGGUUGAAAAUGCAUGUUUGAUAUGAAUGAUAAAUAGUGAACACGAUAAAGUCAAUUAUAACUCAGAAAAUAAUGUUUGAAAGAAUUUAUAGGUACAUAUGAUACCUACAAUACUCAACCUAUUAAUGGACUUUUGCAUGAUUAUUACUGUUAAAAUAUAAAACAUAAUGCAUGCUGGCUUAUUACUUAAACACAUAAGACUUUAAUAAAACAUUUCAAUUUAUUUUAAUAAAACUAAGAGAUAGAAAAAUUAAAAUUUGACACAAUUUAGUACUAGUAUUAAAAAGAUACAUGAAGUGAAAAUUAAUAUAUUAUUUGCAUUACCUUAUUUUUACUUACUAAUGUAGAAGUUGUUAUUCGAAUAAUAUGUUCUUAUAAACCUUAUAAUUUGCUCAAUAUGGCAACAUUUAGUAACUUAGAGUUUUUAAUAUUGUUACCGCCUAGACUUAUUGAUUGGAUUUUUUUGUUAUAUCCACAGGUAUUUAAACACAUUUCAUCAGUUUGGCAGUAUUUUGUUUUGAAUAGGCAAAUAAAGAUAGCUUUAGGUAAGCAAAUAUAUCUUUGAAAAAAUAAUUAAAUAGCGAAGUUUCAUAUAUGAUAUAGUUAUCAAAGAUACCAGGAUUAUAACUUAGUACGCCAGACGCGCGUUUUGUCUACAUAAGACUCAUUAGUGACGAUCAUAUCAAAAUAUUUAUAAAGCCAAACAAGUACAAAGUUGAAGAGCAUUGAGGAUUCAAAAUUCCAAAAAGUUGUUUUCCAAAUACGGCUAAGGUAAUCUAUUCCUGGGACAAGAAUGUUUUUCCAUCACCUUCAUCUAUCCAGUCCUAAAUAUAUAUACGCGCGCAUAAUUGACGUUUGGAAUUGGUAACGCUUUAUGCAAUUAUGUUAUAUUGUAAAAAUUCAUUUAGCAAAAAACAGACGAAAAACAACAAUAAGUUAGGACAACAGAUUUAACGGUUUGAUUGUUUUGUUUUUCAUCAAAUUGCAAUACUCAGUUUAUUUCAUUGCCUGAUGCUCAAUUUUAUUUGUUUCAGGAUGCCUCUUAUUCAGUUAUCUUUGCAAAUCAUGGUAAUAGUUUUGACUAUCAAUGUUGGGUUGAUAUACGCAGGUAAGUUACAAAAUCUAUUCAAAUUUUAGAGACAAUGUGUCCGUUUCGAAACAUAAAAGUGUUUAACAAGUCGGAGCUGUACAAGUUUAUCUUAUCGUAAUGUGAUAGUCAAAGACGCGUGUGCGUUUAAAUAGUUACUGUGUAAUCUAUACACAAAUAAUAUAUGUCGUUUGACAUUAAAAUUAUAAGACCUGUAAGCCAAUAUGCGAUAAUCUUUUCUUAUAAACCAUUGUUUUUUUCAUCUAGUAAAUAGACCUCAAAGAAAGGAAUUUGCUCGCUGAAACUUAUAAAAUUACAAUUAAGACCAAUCUCUGCCAGUCUUCGUGUUUUUCUCUAUUUGUUACACUUCAACUAAAUCAUUUGGUAUUUGGAUGUGUACUUAUUGUAUUAAUGUUUGUAUACCCUGCCACGCCAGCAAUAUGUUUUAUACGUGUUUCUACCUUGUUUUCUGCCAUGUAUCGAUGUGAUGUGUUAAGCUCUUUUUAUAAUCUAUUAUUAUAUUGUAUUAUUUCACUGUCUAUUAUAAAGGGGAGGGUUUGUUAUUUGGUCUCUUGUGGAUAGUUGUCUCAUAGGCAUUUAUACCUCAUCUUAUUAUUUUCAUAUCUUAACUCUAAUAGGGAUAUUAAUUUUUAUUUACGACUUUUAGCAGUUGGAUUAAUCGUUGUAAUGUUCAACUGAAUACAUGCUUCAAAUUUUCAGUGCCAAUGUCCUGAUACUGAAAUUUAAACUAAAAUUAAUAAUUCUAGUCCCUUUUAUUUUUAUUUCAACCUAGCUUUCACAAGUAAAAAUUAUCUUCAGAGACACAUGUUAAAACGGUACUCAAAUUUCUAAUAGUCGGCCAUUACAGUCGGGGACUUUUAUAGCCGACUAUAUUGCAUGGAUUUGUCGCAUUGUUGAAGGCCACACAUUGCAUUUUACUGCUUACAUCUUCUUAUUUCUGAAUUGAACUAUACAUAUAUGAAAUAUAAGUAUUCAUUUUUGAUUAACUAAAAUCAUUUAUUUAAACUAUAAUGUUACGUGAGAAUUUCAAGACACAUUGUAAAACUUAUUCUGAUUAAGCGGACACAUGAUAGUUUUAUGAACAAAUGGCACUUAUUUUAUACAAUUAUCGAAUCAUUGAAAGGAUAAAGAGUAAAAAAGGCAUUGAAACAUAUCGAUAUAUAAAGUAUGUUUUGAGGUAGUAUAAUUGACAUGCAAGAAUAUUUAAAAUAUUUUCUCCUUCACAUAUUCAAGCGCUAAAGCUUUUUUAUCGAAUCAAUUUUAUUUCUCCUUAACAAAUUGGUUUUACUUUCAGGAAUUUCAAACACUUGCUUAGACUGUAUUUGUGACGUAAGUAUAUAUCAAACUACAGAUAUUUCGACAAUU
rnacentral:lncRNA from 1 species